rnacentral:lncRNA from 1 species
GUGCUACAGCUGCUUGCAGUGUGGCUGUUAGAGUUUGACUACACAUAAAUAUUAACUCAAUGAGUCCUUAUGGUAGAUGUUGGUGACAAUUGAUUUACUGUAGGAGUAGAAUGUGCAUCUAGAUGGAAUCUAUCAAUCCUAACAGAAGGAAGUAGUCCUAUGAGAUUUAAGAAGCUGAGUCCUUAAGUCUAUGACCAUAGUAGUGUGAUUAAUGAAAAAAAAAAUUUAUGAG